rnacentral:rRNA from 1 species
GACAGAGGGUGCAAACGUUGCUCGGAAUCACUGGGCGUAAAGGGCGUGUUGGCGGGAAGGAAAGUCAGAUGUGAAAUCCCCAGGCUCAACCUGGGAACUGCAUUUGAAACUCCCUUUCUUGAGUACCGGAGAGGAGAGUGGAAUUCCUGGUGUAGAGGUGAAAUUCGUAGAUAUCAGGAGGAACACCAGUGGCGAAGGCGGCUUUCUGGACGGUAACUGACGCUGAGACGCGAAAGCGUGGGGAGCAAACAGG